rnacentral:lncRNA from 1 species
CUGAAAAAAUAGUUUAUCCAAGAUGGCGGCAGUGGGAGGUUAGUAGAACUCGAAGAGAAGGUCUCUGAAAAGUCUAGAGCUAUAGAUCCUCAGGAACUCAUAGUCCAUGAGUCAGUAGUGAAGGAACCAGAUCUAAGAUUUCAGGAUUAGAUCUUGAAAUUUUUUCAAGAUCAGACAGCGAAAGACUAAAAUAAGUCAAAAUUUAUCUUAUAAAAUCAGAGAAUCCC